UACCAGAAUAUCUUGUUUUUGACAAAAAUUUAAUGAAUAAAUAAAAUUGUUUGUGUUUGUUACCUCUGGGCCCCGAUUGCUCGAAUGCCCAAAGAAAAAGUUGCAAAGAUAUGAAAACUCCACAGUGUGUUGUAUUGAAACGGUUUUAAUUGUCCUAUAACAAAAGCACAGAAAUCUCUCACCGUUUGGAAUAGCAAGAAAGAAACUUACAAGCCUAGCAAGACCGCGCACUUAAGCGCAGGCCCGGCUGGACUCUCCAUCUCUUGUCUUCUUGCCCAGUAAAAG
rnacentral:misc_RNA from 1 species